CGUGGCUCCCUGUGGUGCCACAUAUAGGUUGUGUAUGUGCUGAGAUAUUGUUUCUUCCCCACCCUCUGGGAAGUCUUAUGGGGCUGGUACAACCUCUUACAAUAAAUGGUGUGGUCUAUCUGAUCUAUUUAUCCUGUUGUGCUGUAUGAAUUUAUUGUACUCUGAGUCUAUCCUGAGGAAUGAUCAUGGGUGAAAGCCCUGCCUGAGGGUAUGACUCACAGGAGGGGACCCUGCUUCCCAAGGGCCAUCAGGAACAGAGAGGCGCAAAGGGAAACCGAAAUCACUAUACACCAUAACAUGGACAGAGAAAAGCUUGGUACAUUUUUUGUUUGAAAAUAAUACUUUUCUUUGUUAAUAUAGAUUUGGAAUCCACUGCUUCAGAGAAUUAUUUUUGUUCCUGGGAUAUGCGUGACUGUGUUCUGUGUUUUCCCAGAAGAUCUAUAGUACCCUAGAAGAUUAACUAAAGGGAGACUUUGGGAGACAGGCAUAUUCUUCAGGAUUCUUUUGUUGUCACCAAACCUUCAGCCAAGUGUGUUGCAGCCACAUCUGGUGUGUUGUGAAGGGAUGCUGAGUGGUUCUUCUCCUAUAGCCCUCUCUGCCCAUGCUUGGAUGGUAAGCAUAGACUCAUGUCUGGGGGAACCAUGUUCAUAGCUUUCAGGGGGCCCCAAGAGCAAUGUGAACAGAGGCACAAAGAUUCUUUGAGACCAAUUAGAGGACCCAGGGAUGGUAAAAGCUUUCUUGCUCCAAGUGUACCGGAGGGAAUUCAGCCUCAAAAGGAGUGACGGGAGGCAGAUACCAGUCUGCUCACACAGUCCUGGGCACACACAUCCUUCCUGGUCCACUCUCAAGGACACUUGCUAUUGCUAUGUCCCGGAGAAGGUCAAGGGUUGUAUGUAAAACACAUGGGGAGAAGACAUAUGCAGUGCUGUGGACUCUCAGUGCACUUAUGCUAUCUUCACUCAGUAUGUUGGAGCAGUAGUGAUAUGAUGGUCAAUUUUAUGUCAGCUUGGCAAGGCUGAGGUGUGCCCUUUGGUGUGGUCAAACACCAGUCUACAUGUUGCCCUGAUAAUAUGUUUAGAUGUGAUCGACAUAUACAGCCUGUAGAAAGAUGAGUAAAGCUGAUUGUCCCCCAAAUGUGGGUGGGCCUCACCCAACCAGUUCAAGGUCUUAAGAGCAGAGACUGUGGUUUCCCAAAGAAUUACUUCUGCCACAGGACUGUAAUGCAGAAACCCUGGCUGGUCUCCUGCCCAGUGUCCUGUCUUGCAAUUUCAGACUCAAGGUUGAACCAUCAACUCUCACUGAAUUGCUGAUUUUGGACUUGCCGGCUCCCACAAUCAUAUGAGUUAAUUCUUUAAAAAUAUAUAUGUAUGUCUCCACAUGUGUGCAUGUAAUAUACUAAUACUGUAUAUAAUAGAGUAACAUAUAUAACACAAUAAAGUUCUGUUUUCCCAGAGAAUACUAACAUAGUCUGAAGGGGAAAAGACACUUAGUGUGUUGUACUGGAAACACUAAACAGCCUAAUGGACUCAACAUAUUUUGCUGAAUUCCACCUGGAGCCCACAAAGACAUAUCACUGGAGCCCUUAGGUCAGGAGAACCCCAGAGACCUCUGCCCUCAGUCCAAGGUCUGUUACAUCUCCUGCAAGCUCUGGCUUCCUGCCUCCAUCUCUUUGAGUCCUGUCCCAUGGGCCAGGACAGGGUGUUGCUUAGACUUUUAUGGCAUCCUGUGUUGUCCUUGUCCCACUGGCAACUGCAUGUGGCCGUCCUUGGUAAAUUAGCGCACAAUUGCUCAGGGAAGUGUGUGUGCUGAUGGUGCAUGGCAGCUUUACAAACACUGUCUGGUUGAGUUAGAACUGAAUUGUUCUCUGAUUUAAAGAUUCCUCUGUGAUUAUCAGAACCUUGGGGAUGAUGCUAGCUAGAAAGAAUGUCCAUGACCAUUCUUGCGCCAAUUUUAUAAUUCAUCUUUUAAUAAUCUGUAACUGAAGAGCUGGGUGGAAUUCAUCAGUCCCUGCCUUGCUUCCCACUGGGGAGCUUUCUGUGUCUAUUACAGAGCCAAAGCUGAGUGCAGCUGUUUGAACUGUCACGGGGGCUCUGGUUCAUCCAAAUAUUGAUAAUAAUCACUUCUGCUUCAGAUGGAAGGCAUUUAUUUAAAUAUUCGUAAUGAAAAGGCUGUUAUUAUUGAUAUUAAAGCUUUACAGUGAGAACAUCAAAAUGUGGAUAUGACAUUGAUAAACCAUGCUUGGAAAGAGCUGUGUCUUUCUCCUGCAUGGUAUUUAGGGCCCUGGGCUGGUGUUGUUGAUCAUCUGUUCUUCAUAGAAAUAGGGAGAAGUUAUUACAAGGGAUAAUUAAACCCACAGAAAUGUCUGAACGCUGGCAGGCUACAGCCAUCCCCAGCACCGAAGGGGAUCAGCAAAAUCAAACAGUCGGGGUUUGAGUCCUAGGAGGGUGAGUAGUGUGAUGAAUUUUCCUCACUCUGUCUUUGUCCCUCCCCUGCCUUUCCUGGAUUACAGUCACAAGCAGAUCACAUCACAUUUACUCGGUCUUCAUGCACCGUGCUCUGGAGUGGAGCCUGGGUGCUGCUCUUCCUGGGUGUGACCAACAUGUCACUGAGAAGAAGGAAGCUGCUGCGACCCUGGCCAGCCACAUCACUGUGCUAGCACGAACCCAGUGUUCUGUGACUCCUCCCUGUGUCCUCUUCUCUUCUCCUUGCCUUUCCUUAAUUGCCUGCCCUGGGUGGUCUUCUGUCUCCUGAACCAAAUCCCUUUGUUCUUUAUGAGGUGGGACAUGUUAGUUGUUCUAAUCAAGAUGAUUUUAUUUCAAAGAUAAUAAAUAUCUGGCCAUCUCCAAGAGGGUGUCAGAAGCCUUUCCUUGAGUUUGAGUGGUCACUUAGGGCAGCAGGAGCCUCGGCCAGGGCUGGACUGUACCCACAGCCAUUGGAUGACACCAUGUCAAUGGAAACAGGGCUCAAGGGAUCUUGCAAAAAGCACCCCUAAGGAGGGCGAGUUUUUAUGUCAAACCCUUACCUGUUGGAGGGAAGGAAGAAGACUUGAAUUCAGUCCUGGGCUAGUAUGAGACGUGAAUCACCGUGUAGCCCCCUCCCCCGCAAAGAAUGUCUGAGCCCCAGGAGAGAGAUGAAAGAGCUGCAGGGCAGAACCGUGCCACUGUGGCCUGUGACAAGUCGGGGAUCCGUGACUCGCUCUUCAGGACCCGUGUGCCAGGCUGGACCCAGGAGGGGAGGCCCCGUUGUGCCACUGGGAGGCUGCCAUGCCUGGGCAGCAGGGUGUUCAGUCCUUACUCUGCCCGGGCUUCCAAGUGGCCUCUAGCAGAUGCCUACCUUGUGCACUUCCUUAGUAGCAGCACCCAGCCUGACAGGAUGGUGAACCCCAGGGAGUCGGUAAGGCCUUGGGGUUUCCCUGAGUAAAGGAGCAAGACACCUGUCUCUCUCCAACACAUGUAUUAGGUGGCCCACGUUGCCAGUUCCUUACUCCACGUCGCUGGAAUCCUCUGCCAGGAAGACUGAGCUAAGGUCCUUAAGAAGGAAAGGCUUCUGAAUUUCCCAAGAGGACAGCAGGACUAAGAAUGGUUUCUCCACUGAAACAGACCUACGUGUCUAAGUUGAGCAGCUUUCCAGCAGCCUUCUGGCUAAUGAACAAAUUGGUUUUCAAGGAAUAGCUUUUGUGGCAUUACUUAAGUGGAGUUAUUGGAAAGAAAAGCUGGAGAAAAGUUUAGGAGACAUAAUAUCUUUAAGACAGAAAAAUACUGGGUUUAGAAAAAAGUGACGAGAAUGUUACCCUUCGCCAAGGCAGCCAUCUAGCGCAGAGCUCUUCUUGUUCACAUGGGGAACUGUCUACUUCAGCCAGUUAGUGUGGUCUUCAAGCACAUGUUUAAUUUCUGAGGGCUUUGUUAAAAGAAAGCCAAAAUAAUCGGAGCUUACUGAUCAGCUUCAGUGCACUUUCUCUUUUUAGGAGGGACUGCUUCGGGCUCGGAAAGAUAAAUCAUGUAACUUCAUAAGAAUUCUUUAUAAUGUAGUAUGAAAUUAUGCUCACAUGCUCUGAAGUGUUUCUAAAUAGCCUUGGCCACAUCUUAGAUAUUCACUGUCGGAGAAUGUAUAAUUUAAGAAAUCACAACAAGAUGGCAGAAGUUUGUUCUAAAGGAUUUUGAGGGAGUUGAUCUGAAGUCACUUUGAAGUUAUGUGCGCUCUUUUCUAGGAAAGUUCUCAGCUCUUGCCCUCUUCCCUGCCAGCCCACAAGCUCCUGCCUCUCCAGCUUGGGGUGCUGGUCUGCACCACUUCAUUGCAGUUGAUGUGUUGGGCCCUUUGAUCUGUGGUCUAUAUUUGUUUGCAACUUGCUGUCAGUUCCCUGGUAAGGUGCUAGGUGAUAAUUAAGACUUUAGUUUAUGGCAAGUGGAUUGACCUCCUCCUUAAAAAAAUUGGAUGUAUAUCUGAUAAAUGAGCAUAUUUUAGAAAUUUUUUUUAUCAGAAUCUUAAAGGGUUUUGUAAGCACAGAGACCAAGGACUUGGGAAAUGCAUUUAUUGAGCAGACGUCUUGGAAACACUGGGGAAAAGCUACCUAAUGAUGAAAUGAACAGUGGUGCGGCUGAUGGUGUUGAACAGCAUCCUUCAAAUUCCACUGAUAAGGUGUGUGCUUCUUUCAGAAGAGCUGGUCCUCUCAGAGAGGCUACAGGUGAACAAACAUAAGGAGAUCGAACUCGGGACCUUGUGCUUCCGAGGCAGGUGGCAGAACCACUGAGCUAAAUCCCUAUCCCUUUUUCUUAAUUUUUAAACUUGAUUUAAAAAUAUGCACUGUAUUUCUGGAUUAUAUUUGGAUAUAUGCAUAUUUACACAUUCCUCUUCUGUUCUCUCUGAGCUUUGCUUCUCCCAGAGCAGCAGAGGCCCCAAGCUUCCUGUGGGAUGGACUGAGGCCAGGGUGUGGCCAGCAAGCUGGGCCAGGGCCAGGUGACUGCUAGGGGAAGCAGAGGGUGCACACUCUGACCCCUGCAGGUGGUCAUGUGUGUUUGGCUUGCAGGUGGGGAUGAAAGGGAGCCCAGAAGUAAGCACGGGGGCUUCAUUGGGACAAGAAAAGAGGGAAAAGAGGGAAAGGAUGAGAAGACUUCAAUUAAAGAAACAAGGGAGACAAGAACUGAGAAGUAUAAGGAAAAGGAAAGAAGGAGCAGACAUGAAGGGGAGGAGAUGGAAGGAACCUAGGGCUCCUUCUCUCUGGAGGGUGCUGCAGUCCAGAUGCCAUCAUGACAGCAGACCAACCCCUCAACAGACCCUAAGCCCACUGGUGCCUUGAUCUCAGACUCCCCAGCCUCUGGAACUGUGAGAAAUAUACUUCUAGGCUCAUGUGUUUUGUUACAGCAACACAGAUGUACCAAGAACAGAAAUCUAACUCAUAUAAUGACUAGCUAUAAUACAUACUAGAACCUCAGUUUUUCCAUCUGUAAAGUGGGUGAUGUAAAUCAAAUUAUGUAUUAUCCCUUUGAUUUCUGUGAUUUUAAAUGUGUGUGUGCACAUACGCAUGUAAUUGCACGUGUGUAGGAAGGAAAUGGUGGCAGGUUGUAUGCAAUCACAAGGUUCCCUGUCUGCUUCCAGAUAAAUGCUGAGUGGGCCACAAAUAAUAAGUGUACCAGAAACUGCAAUUUUAUGGGCAGUAAACACUUUGAGGGGGUUUCCAGAUACAUAAGGGCCUGACUGCAUACUCCUUAGAAGCACAGCUUUGAUUACUUUUAUCAGGUUACUCCUUAACUCUGCGUGUUGAUAAGCACAAGCACAAACAAGGCACAGAAGAGUUUGAAGUCAUUCCAGGAAAAUAAGGAAAUACAAAUUAUUACAUAUGCUACUCCAAAGUCAGGUGAUUUCAGUAAUAUGGGAUGUCCUAAACCCCAAAUCUGGGACAGUUCUCAAAUUUCUGAGAGCUGAGUGGUGUCUUGUCUCUGAAACAGGAACAAUGGGUCCCCUGCAGCUGUGCCUGCAGAAGGGAAAUUGCCAGGUGCAAUAUUACAUUUUGGCCUCUUAAUGAUGAUUUAUGAGCAUUGGGCUCAAUCACCAUGUGCUUGAUGGAGAUGUAAUUUGCCUUGGUUUUAAGGAAUGGAGUUUCAAAUAUUUGAAAGUAAAAAACUCAGCCCUACCUCAUUAGCUAUUUUAAAGGGUUCCUUGUGCCAGUCACCGUAGAUGGGCCUUUUGUUGCCUCAUAUCUGGGCUGAAAGAGCAGUUGACUAUGUCUGUUUGCUGGAGUUGAUUUUCAUCUGUCCUAACCUAAUUCAAUUUUCCUUCCUACCACACAUAUCAAAAGCCAUUAAUUUAUCAGUGUUAGUUGAAUUUAACCUGUAGGGUAGACCCAGCCGUUCACAGGGCAACACUGUUUUCCCACAGUCUCUCUUGGGAGGAGAAGAGCUUAGACUCUGAUUCUGGGUGGGGUCCAAACCCUACCUCUGCCACUGAUAACUGGUGUGACUUUGGACAGUAGUAAGAUGCAUAAGUUACUUAAUUAUCUCUGUAUUUACUCAUUUUGGAAUGAGAAAAAUAAUCUUAACGGAUUGGAAAAUGUAUGUCAAGUACUUAGGAUAGUGACAAAUGUUAUGGCAAAUGCAGCUGACAUAUUCUA